rnacentral:lncRNA from 1 species
GAUGAGGUAUUAUUAUAUUACUUGUGCUGAUGCAUGAUGGGUUGUAGGCUAGAGCUUGAGUACUGUAGUGUGUAGACUAUUUCUGAAUUCACUGACCUGGUGAGUAAAUGUUGUGUACAAUGGCCCCAUCUAGUGACAGAAACAUAGAAACACACAUUGUUGCUGAACGAAGGCAUCUCUUUAUUUUCCAAAAAUUUAACUUGUAGACCUUUACUACAGUCUCUGAGGAGAUGGACACCUCUUCUUCUUCUGGACGAUCUCCGUCUCCUACUGGGACUUGCUUCUUACCCCCUCCUAUCAUGUGGAACAGUCUCUACAAGCAGGCAGAGAUGGAGUUUCAGUUCCUGAGAGAAGAGAAGAAGACCUGUACAACGAAGGAAGCCCACAUGCUUGAGUUGAGAGGGAAGGAUCGAACGAUCCGAAAUCAGAAGAAGGAGAUGGACAGACUUCAAGUCUGCCUCUGGGAGGAGGAAAAGAAGAAGAGCAAUGAUGGAACGGAGAAGGACAAGAUCAUUGAACAUCUACAGUCUGAGACAGACCAUCUCAGAUCCCUUUUAAAAGAGGAAAAGAGGAAAAGAAGAGUAGAAAGGGGUCUAAUGAAUGAGUGGAAGGCUGAGAUCCUGAGACUGAGGGAGUCAGAGAGCCAGAGAGAGGCAGAGAGCCAGAGGGAGGCAGAGAGACAGAGGGAGUCAGAGAGCCAGAGGGAGGCAGAGAGCCAGAGAGAGGCAGAGAGACAGAGGGAGGCAGAGAGACAGAGAGAAGCAGAGAGACAGAGAGAAACAGAGAGACAGAGGGAGGCAGAGAGAGUCACAGAAGCGAUGGAGAACCAGAGGAAAAAUGCAGGAGAUCAAGAGAGUCAAACAUCUGCUGGAGCUACUGAUGGUUGAUCUACAACUGGCCCACGUAAGACAUGUCAUUGUUAUUAUUAAAAGGCAGUGUAUAUUCACCCAGCUGAAAAUGAAUGACGGUGGACAGCGGUACACUAACCCAAUGUUAACUUUUAUGCCUUUCCUUAACAUUAACCCUUACCUUGACCUCACUGAAACUAUACCUAACCUUUACCUUAACCCAACCCUAGGUCCUGAACCUAACCUUCAUUUAUCUCAACCCCUAUGCCUUUCUUCUGCCGGUUGAAUAUCCACUUCCUUAUUAACAUCAUUACUGUUGUUGUUGUUGAUAACUGUAUGUGUGCAGGUUGUAAAUAAUUGCAUUAGUGAAACAUCAUUUGUAGGAGUAAUUUCUGCAAGCAUAAAC